AUGGAUCCAAUUACCAUUGCUGCCGUAGGAUGGAGCGUGGCCAUGGUUGGUUGGGUCGCCUCGGCCACCAUCUCCAAGCUCCUCGCCAAAGGCUUCGAUUACCUCGAAUAUGACACAGCAAAGAAGCUGGCACAACUUGAGCCAAAAAUCUUGGUGCUGGAACGGGUCAUGGAAGUUGUCGAGACGAGCCCAUACAGGCCUCGUCUAGAGCACCUGUUCAAGCGGCUUAAAUAUGCUUUCUAUGAAGCCGAAGAAAUCUUGGAUGCUGUCGAGUGUCACUGUCUAGAGAAGCAGAUCAAAACUGGAAAACUACAGCCGGGCGGUGGCUCGUCUCUACCUAAAAAGGAUCGUCUGAAGAAGAAGGAGAGUCGUAUGUCAAAUAAGAAGUUGGUAAAGAGCCUAAAGAAGAUAGAAAACAUUAUAAAUGAAGCACACCAGAUUUUGGAGAAGCUUAACUUGUCAAGCAUAAGUGAUGGCAAUAUAAGACACAAAAUGGUUGUCAAUCCUACGACUACCGCAGUUUCCCCGCAAAAAGUUUUUGGUCGAGAUAAUGAUCGUGACAAGAUCAUAGCAAUGCUUCAUGAAAAGGAAGGUGGUCUUGAUCCAAGCACUAGCAAAGGUCUAUGUUUUUCUGUAAUUGGCAUACAUGGAGUCAGCGGGUCUGGGAAAUCUACCCUUGCACAGUUUGUUUAUGCCCACGAGAAAAAUGACAAGCAAGACAACAAGGAAGACCAUUUCGACCUUGUUAUGUGGGUUCAUGUCUCUCAGGAUUUUAGUGUGUGGGGCAUCUUCAAGGAGUUGUAUGAGGCAGCUUCAGAUCCUAAGGUUCCAUGCCCUCAAUUUCAUAACUUGAAUGCCUUGGAAGAAGAACUGGAGAGGAAGCUAGAUGGAAAGCGAUUCCUUCUGGUACUGGAUGAUGUCUGGUGCAAUGCGGAUGUUGGUAACCAGGAGCUACCAAAGUUACUUUCUCCACUUAAGAAAGGAAAGAAAGAAAGCAAGAUCCUAGUGACAACUCGAAGUAAAUAUGCACUACCGGAUCUAUGUCCUGGUGUGAGAUAUACUGCCAUGCCGAUAACUGAGGUUGAUGAUACCGCCUUCUUUGAGCUGUUCAUGCAUUAUGCCCUCGAAGAUGGCCAAGAUCAAAGCAUGUUCCAGAACAUUGGGGUUGAGAUUGCAAAAAAGCUGAAGGGGUCACCUCUAGCAGCUAGAACAGUGGGUGGAAAUUUACGUCGACAGCAAGAUGUUGACCAUUGGAGAAGAGUCGGAGAUCAAGACCUUUUCAAGGUAUGGACGGGACCUCUGUGGUGGAGCUACUAUCAGCUAGGUGAGCAGGCUAGGCGUUGCUUUGCUUACUGCAGUAUUUUUCCUAGGAGACAUCGCUUGUACCGUGAUGAAUUAGUUAGACUCUGGAUGGCAGAAGGGUUCAUAAGAAACACAGAUGAAGGGGCUGAUGCUGAAGAUGUUGGUCUGGGAAUAUUUAAUGAACUAUUGUCGAUAUCAUUUCUUCAACCAGGAGGCAAGGACUGGUACAAUCAUGGCAAGGAAUACUAUUUAGUUCAUGAUUUACUGCAUGAUUUAGCAGGGGCAGUAGCUGGAAGUGACUGCUUCAGAAUUGACAAUAACAUGAUCCAGAAAGGAGAAAGGUGGGCAAGAGAUGUUCCCAGAGACGUUCGUCAUCUUUUUGUUCAGAGUUAUGAUGCAGCAUUGAUUACAGGGAAGAUUCUUUUAUUGGAAAAUUUACACACACUCAUCAUUUAUAGUGUUGGAGGGGAUACACCAGUUGAGGAAAUAGUCAUCAAGAACAUACUCAAGAGUCUGCCGAAACUGCGGGUACUAGCAAUAGCUUUAUGUCUGGAAAAGGAUGGAUUUAUUUGUAGACCAAAUAUAUUGUCUGUUCCAGAAUCUAUUAGCCAAUUAAAACAUCUACGAUAUCUUGCUUUCCGGACAGAUAUUGGAUGCAGAGUAAUUUUACCAAGCAGUCUAAACCAGCUUUACCAGAUGCAGCUGCUAGAUUUUGGUGUCUGCAUGAAUUUGGUAUUUUCCUGUGGUGAUCUUAUCAACUUGCGGCAUGUAUUCAGCGGUCCUGGAUUGCAAUUUUCAAACAUCGGUAGGCUUGUCUCACUCCAAACAAUCCCAGCAUUCAAAGUAAGUCAUGAACAAGGACAUGAGGCAAAGCAGUUGAGGUACCUAAACAGGCUCAGCGGCGAACUGAGUAUAUAUGGUCUCCAAAGUGUUGAAAGCAGAGAGGAAGCUCUUGCAUUCGAUCUAGCUGCCAAGAAACGGCUCACAGAACUAACACUAUCACUCGGUGGAAGUUCAAAAGUUGCGGCAGAGGUACUUGAGGGCCUUUGUCCUCCCGUGGGGCUUGUAACACUCGACAUCCGUGACUACGAUGGUUUGGUAUACCCAAAGUGGAUGGUGGGUAGGCAAAAUGGCGGACCAGAGAAGCUGCAACAACUUGGUCUCUCUGGAUGGAGCCAGCCAGGGCCUGCUCCUGCACUGAAGGCUUUCAAUCAUCUUCGUUGCCUCAAUCUGAUGCACUGCAGCUGGAACGCCUUGCCAUGCAAUAUGGAGCACCUCAGCUCUCUGGAAACAGUAAUCAUUAUUAAAUGUUUGAAUAUCCGGUCGCUUCCAACGCUGCCACAGUCUCUUACGUAUUUUUGGCUCCUGAAGUGCGACGAUGGGUUUAUGGAGUCUUGUCAAACAGUUGGACAUCCAAACUGGAAAAAGAUUCAACAUAUCUGCAGGAAAUAUUUUAGUGAAUGA
rnacentral:rRNA from 1 species